UCUGCAUGCUCUUUGGAGCAGGACAGGAAUCCAGUGUCACCUGUCCCAGUUAAGGGCUCUGAUCAUCAGGCCAGAUAAGAGCACGUCUCACUCAAGAAACAGUAAUUUAAUAAAAAAUCAGUUCCAGUGGGAAGGAACUGAGGGAGGUCUGUUCUACAGGCAGGGCUGGAAUUCUUGCUUGAGAGGUGUGACACUGGUUAUCUUCUCUGCUUAUAUCCAUGUAGUGCCCAACUAAAAUACUCCAUUAAUAUUAGGUUUAAUGGGACAAAUAAUUAUUUUGUUGAAUCAUAGGGAAAUCUGAUAGAGAUAGGAAAGAAGUGUUAAAGCAGUAUUAAAGUUUUGAUAGCAUAGAGAGAAGUAGCACAUGGAACCUGGUGAUGUGAAGAAACUCGUUACAUUUCAGAUGGGGUUCCUUUGGGGCAGGAGCCACCUCUUCCUCUAUGGUAGCUCAUGGAGCAUAAAAACCAGAUUGUGAAAAUGGUGUGGGUUACAUAACUGGCCUGUCCAGGUGAACUUUGUAAGCACUGAAAUGUGUUGAAGCAGAGGGGACAGCAGAGUAUUCUGUUUGAUUUAGAAAAGGUGUCAAAAAUCUACUUGUCACAGACAACCUAAGGAUAACUAUAUAUGCUUUGUUUAGGGCUGCAGACAUCCUCUAUUUUAAAAUAAAGUGCAGACAAGGCCAGUGUAUGCUCUAAGAGGAGCAUGCACUUACACCUCGACUAAAAAUGUCUAAAAUGUGCAAUUACAUGUGCACAGCUACUACAACUGGCCCUGCCAGUCUGGGGCACAGGAAGCCCGUGUUAGCUGGGUGUUCAGUGUAGCUGCCCAACCUGACUGCUUGUAGGUCAGGAUCUGAGACUGAAACAUGGUAUGCAAAAGUUGCUUUAGGAGUUGCAGUUGGGAAAAUACUAACACAAAGGUGUUAGACACCAUGUAUCUAGAUUCAGCUCCACAGAUGUCAAGAAGUGUGGAUGGUCUCAUUCUGCCCUGAAAUAGGAAAAUAAAAAGAUUUCUUGAUAGGAAGGGUGUGGGUGUACUCAUACAUCUUCACAAGUGGGAAGACCUCUUGGUGACAGAGAAUGUUAAUUUUGAGUAACAUUCAAGCCAAAUUUAGUGGGCUUUUCCAUGAAUGUUAUUGAACCACACUCUGCAGCUGCAUCUCAUUGUGGCUUUUUCAUCAUGGAAGAAAAUAUGCAGUUGAUCUGCACAGUUGGAUUUUAAUAUUUUAAUGAUAGCCCUUCAAAAGGAAAACAGCAACUCAGGCUGCUGAGAAAAAAACACAAUCAGGAACAGUACACAUGAACGUGUGAGUUUAGAAGGGCCACUGACACACAGGAGCUCACUACAGACCUCUCACAGAUCCCUCCACUCCUCAGCCAUCUGCUGUGGUGGAGGUGAGAGGUGUUCCUGGGCUGGACUCUGCCCAGUGCUGCUGCAGCUGCUUGCUUUUCCCAGCCCUCUGGAGGAUGUGUCACACUGGUGGUGUGAUUCUGCAUGUCUGUGUGGCAGUGCUGGGCUGCACUGCUGCCACACAGUCUCACCUUGCAGUAGGAUUGUUUAGUGCCAGUUAAAUGCUUUUCUUCAGCGUGACAAUCCACACUGCUCUGACUGAUCACUGAGUAUUUUUCACUGGAGCCAUAGGCAGGUGUUUCAGGAGUUUAGGACCAUCCUGUUGUCCUUCCCCUCUUCUCUCCCAGCCAUAUAGGAAGUCAUCCUGUGAGAUGAGAAGAGAAGGGGACCAGCUGUUAGCCUUGCCAGGGCCAUGGCCAGCAGCUGUGGUGGAAUCCUCCUUGUGCCACCAGUAGGGCCAGGAGCAGGCUGACCUCAGCAGCGGGAGCACGUCAGUCAGGUUCACCUUGCUCUUAAUCCAUGUGAAGAUCCGUUGGAAACGCCUCUAGAAACCCAAGAGUUUUCAGUCUCCUGAUAAGUUCUGUUGUGUCCAAGAACAGCCUGCCCAAAUGAGCAAGACAUCCCAACAGAACAGCACCACAGAUGCGAGCGGAGUAAGUGUGAUUCACACUCAAGCACACUCCAGUGGUUUGCAGCAGGUUCCCCAGCUGGUGCCUGUCAGUCCUGGUGGUGGAGGCAAAGCUGUGCCUCCGAGCAAACAGGGAAAGAAAAGUUCCUUUGUGGAUAGGAACAGUGAUGAGUAUCGUCAGCGCAGAGAGCGGAACAACAUGGCAGUGAAAAAGAGCCGCUUAAAAAGCAAGCAGAAAGCACAAGACACACUGCAAAGGGUCAACCAGCUCAAAGAAGAAAAUGAACGUUUAGAGGCAAAAAUUAAACUCCUGACCAAGGAGCUGAGCGUACUGAAAGACUUGUUCCUUGAGCAUGCCCACAAUUUUGCAGAUAACGUGCAACCUGUUGGCACUGAGACCACCACAACAAAUCCAGAAAACAGUGGACAGUAGACACCUGCGACCUUAUGAAACAAACUCUGGAGCUGCAGCUUGCCUGCAGUGCCCGUGCAGUAACCCAGCAAAAACUGUACCUUUAGUCAUUGUUUUGUGGAGAUUUUCUUCUUUUAGAUUUAACACUGAAGAUUUGUAACAAUUAAACCAGAAACUGGUUAACUGUUUGUUUUAAAUACUUUUCUCCUCAAAGAUUUACGCAGAUCUGAACUCCUAGUCAACGAGAAAUGUAAUAUUUAGGAGAUAGCAUUUUCACAGGAAGAUUCACUUACAUUUUAGACUUUGCAUAAUGGGAGGAAUCCAGCAGCAUGGCUCACUGUAGCAUCAGAAACAUGUGAUUGGAUAGAACGUCUUUUAAAUACCUGUUAGAGUAUUUUAGCCCUUUGUUUUCUCCAUUUCAUAUUACAAACUGCAAAGGCUGUGGAGAAUUUUUGCUUUUUAUAUAAAUCUGUAGAAUUGAAGUCCUAUGAAGCACCACGUAGGUCCCUCCUGCCCAG